rnacentral:rRNA from 1 species
GGGUAACCUGCCCUAUGCUGGAUAAUAACCUCGGGAAACUGAGAAUAAUGAUCCAUAGUUCACUACGCCUGGAACGGUGAGUGGAUGAAAGCUCCGGCGGCAUAGGAUGGGCCUGCGGCGUAUCAGGUUGUAGGGGGUGUAACGUACCCUCUAGCCCUCUACGCGUACGGGUGUUGGGAGACAUAGCCCGGAGAUGGAUUCUGAGACACGAAUCCAGACCCUACGGGGUGCAGCAGGCGCGAAAACUUGGCAAUGCGAGAAAUCGUGACCAGGGAACUCCAAGUGCAUCGGGUAAGACCGGUGCUUUUCUUGACUCUAAAUAGGUCUUGGAAUAAGGGGUGGGUAAGGACGGUGCCAGCCGCCGCGGUAAUACCGGCGCCUCAAGUGGUAGUCGCUUUUAUUGGGCCUAAAACGUCCGUAGCCGGUCUGAUACAUUCGUGGGUAAAUCAACCAGCUCAACUGGUUGAAUUCUGCGAGGACGGUCAGACUUGGGACCGGGAGAGGUGUGGGGUACGCUCAGGGUAGGGGUAAAAUCCUGUCAUCCUGAGCGGACCACCUGUUGCGAAGGCGCCACACUAGAACGGAUCCGACGGUCAGGGACGAAGCCUAGGGGCACGAACCGGGUUAGAUACCCGGGUAGUCCUAGGUGUAAACGCUGUGGACUUGAUGUUGGGGGUGCUCCGAGCACUCUCAGUGUCGAAGCGAAGGUGAUAAGUCCACUGCCUGGGAAGUACGGUCGCAAGGCUGAAACUU